rnacentral:lncRNA from 1 species
CUAAAUUGGUAAUUUUCAUGUUUUUGGCCUUCUAGUAGAUUAUAUGAACUGUGUAAGCUUGUUCCUAAGGCAUGUAGUUAAGAAUUUUGCUCGUAAUAUCGCAAGUAGCUAGACCAUCAACACAUGAUUCGUAUGAGUACAAAAGUGUUCAUAAUAAUAUCAGAUCAUACAUCAAGCUGAUCAUCAACUCAUAUUUUUCCCCUUAAUUAUGACCACUUGGUCUUUUUAUAGAUCCACUUCAGAGGAUUACAAAUAUAGUACUAUUACUAUAUACUUGACUUUAAGUUGCUUUUUAGAGCAAUUAUUUAAGUUCUUGAUAUCAAGCAGAACAAUCCAUACAUAUUAACGUGAAAUGGACGUAGGUCGUUUCAAUUAGUAUGGACUUUCGCCUCUAUAAUUACCUGGAGGAUCAUAGUUGCAAGAGACAACAUAUCCUCCAUUGUUACACUGAACCCUAGCACAUCCAACACGAACCGAGUUACGCCAAACCACCUGAGUAUAGUGUCCACACACCUGUCCUUGUGCACAAGUAUUUGAGUCAUGGUCAUAAUACUGUUUCUCAUCGACCCACAUCUCAACGGCCUUAGCAGCCGUCAUGAAAUCGCCACUUCCCUCAGCUAGGUUUUCGCCGUAUUGACCAUGAGAAUGUACGAGGUUACAAUCUGCAGCCAAUUGGGAAGCAUAAUUUUGCGCAUAGGCUGCUACCUGGUCGUCCCAGGUCAAAGGUUCUACACCUACAUCUGCACGAGCUGUGUUAUGGGCAUCCAAAUAGUCUUGUUGAGAAUUUUGGGCACGGCAAGAGUGGGAUAUUACUAGGAAUAAGAGAAGUGUAGAGACAAGAAGAAAUGAAGGCAAUUGUGAAAAGAGAACAAAUCCCAUGACUAUAGGAGAAAUGUUGUAUCUUGAAUGGAAAAACUAGAUUUACUACCAAGGGUAUUUAUAGGAGAAAUCUUGAAGAUUUCACGGUGAUUAUUCAUGUACUUACUAAAUUUUUUGACAUGGUAAUAUCAAUGUAAUAUAUCCUGUUAUAGAUAAUUUAUCCUAUUUUCUAGGUUACCAUAUUAAACUUAUAUAUGCAGUUACCAAUUGUUGUAAAAUAGUUUUACCCGAUGUUGCAAAAUAAUUUUAAAUUGUCAAUGCAUGAAGUUAAACACUUUUUUGAUCUAUCAGAUGUGCUUUUUGUUAAAUAAAGUAGACUGGUUAUGGUUAAUGUGUUAAUUAAUAUUUUCUACAUUUAACGAUCUGAUUAAUUUUUACUUCCAUAUUUAUAUCUCUUUUUUUUCAGAAUGGGAAUGUCCAUUGGAAAAAGAAUUUAAAAUAAAUACUUUGAUGUUUGAUUUUUCUAAUAAUCUUAUUUCUAAAUCUUAUAUUAUAUUUCUUAUAUGUACAAUCAAUUCUCUAAAAGAAAAAACUAUAAUAAUACCAAACACAGUUUGUGUCUUCUUCUUUCUUUUCUCAAUAUUUGUGGAAAACUUGAACAUGGCCGUCAUCUCGAUGACGUUAAAUAACUAUCAAAUUUGGACGUAAAGAAUAUUUGGAUAUUCUUCAGUUCUUUCUCUAAUUUCCUUCCCUUAAUUUCCAACUUGAUGUUACUCAUGUACUAUCAUACUUUUCUAUUAUCUCAUUCCAAUCACGGCUUGAUCUGGAGUAUAAAUAAAUUUCUAUUUUCUUAUCCCAAUCACGACUUGACUUUAGAUUCAAAUGGAGUAUUUUUUUAUUUUUUGUAAAUAGCUUAUGUUUAUUUCGUUUUUCGACAUUAGUGGAAAAGAAAGCUCAAGUUUUAGUGAAGCUAGAGUUUGAAAUCCUCGAGGGUGUUUUAAGAUUUAACUACUUUAUUUUUCCAAGAAAUAGCACCCUAAAGCAUCUCGCUGUAAUGGCGUUCACUUAUUUUCCCUUUAAUUUAAAUGGAUAAAUGACAACCAAACUCCUUAAAAAGACUUCGGCCAAUGCUUUAGGUGGUGAAGUAUAGACCCAAUACUUACAAGAGAGACCAGUGUUUUUGUUAUGCAAAAAGAGUAAUUGAAGAAUUUUGUAACUAUUGCCAUUUAGCAAUUUGNNNNNNNNNNCNNUCACUUUUGUUUGACAUGUAUACUAAAAAUAGAUUUUCAUUUUUACUUUUCACUUUAUGCAUGUUAAGAGAAGACAAUUUUUUUUUCCUGUUAUACCCACAGUAUUUAUUACUCAUUUCAAAUCAUUUUCUCAAAUCCAAUAAAAUAUGCAUCAAUUAAUAUGGGUAUCAUGGUAAAUUAUGCAUUUCAAUCAUUUUUUCUUAAAGGGUUUGAAAAAUCAAAACGUGUCAAGUAAAAGUAAACAGAGUACAUAUUAUUGUAAAUUAACUUAUCGUGAUGAUUAAAAAAAUUAUAGUCUAUUAGAUGCAAAAAAAAAAAAAAUGAAAACUUAGACCCUACACUAUGAUAAUUGACAUCCUCGUAUAUCUUAGUCCUUAAAAACGUUUAUGUGCUACGAUCCCUAGGUAAAGGUUUGCGCCAUCAGGGUCGCAAAUUGUGCCUCACGACUUGACUAUAAGAUCAAAAUUAAGGUAUCUUAAUUAAUUUAUUCUAUUGAUAAUAGAGCUUAAAAUUCAAAUGUUCUUGAGGUUUUACUUUUCUUAUUGCAAUACAUUCCUCAUUAACUUUAUAGAACAAAAAAAAUGAUACAGUGAGAAAUCAUAGUUGCAAAUCUGAUUGUCAAGAUUUAUCAGAUUUGGGUUCAAAGAAAGUAGAAUAACUUUAUCUUUCAGCAAAUUUGUAUGGACUUAUUUGAGUUAUGCAUUGCUUGGUUCAUCUCUUAUGAUGUAUUGAAGGUUCUCUACGUAGCAUGUCAUGAGUGAAGAAUCAAAAUAGAAUUGCAAGCUCAAUAUUAAAAAGAAUAACUGAAAGUAGAAUUGAAAUUUUUGUGGAAGAAAAUAAUUGGAUAGUUUAUUCAAUUCACGAAUGGCCUUAUAUAGGCAUACAAAUUAGCUUGAAUAUGUUAUCCCACUAAACAAACUCUCCUAAACUUUAGGAAAAAUAUCUGCAACUAACAAUAACAAAAUAACAACUUGAAGCUAAAAACUAGCUAUACUACUGACUUAGUCAACACUACAAGUUGUACAUGGCACAAGUGCAGGAUUAAAGUUGCAGGCACCAUCAGCGUCGUACAUUGUGCUACAGCCUACAAGAGUUGACUCCAACACAAAGAAUGAGAAAAGAAUCAAUACAAACGGAAAGGUAAACAUCUUUACUGGGAUUGUGAAUGCUUUUAUUUGUUUUGAUUCCUUUUAGGCAAUUCGGAUCAGGUUAACCCGGAUUCAUGUAGAUGACGUGAAUUAUAGCACACGAAAAUUUGUAAAUCGACCCGAAUUUCAGUUUUUUAUCCCUAAAAUGCCAAAAGAAGAGGAACGGUCAUGCUGAAGCCAUGAUUAUUGUUCAUUAGGUUAUUUUUUAUGGCCCCGCAAACUGAAAAUUCUGGAUAUCGGGUAGAAUUCCAGCUUUACGGUCGUAAAACACAAAACACGAGGAACGGUCAUGGCAAGGAAAUGACUAAUAUUCCUUAGAUCAUUUUUUAUGGGACGGUAAAAUGGCGACUCGGGUCUGGUCGCUCGAACUAUGCAGAUGGCAUGGGCUAUAGCACACAAAAAUUUAGAAAUCAAGUAGAAUUCCAGUUUUGUGGGCCUAAAAUGCCAAAUAAUGAGUAAACGAUGACUAGUAUUUCUUAGGUCAUUUUUUAUUGGUCGGAAAUUUUUUAGGUGAUUCGGGUCCAGUCGUCCAGACCCAUGUAGAUGACGUAAGCUAUAACACACGAAAAUCUAGGAAUUAUACGGAAUUAAAAAAUUUAUGGCCCUAAAAUACCCAAAAAUGAGGAAUGGUCAUGGCGAGGCGAAGACUAAUGUUCCUUAAGUCGUUCUUGAUGGGCCAAAAACUUUUUAGGCGAUUCAGGUCUAAUCGCUCAGACCCAUGCAAAUGGCGCGAGUUAUAUAGCACAGAAAAUUUGGAAUUGGUCGAAUUCCAAUUUGUUGGCCUUAAAAUGCCAAAAAAUGAAGAACGGUCAUGCUUAAGUCAUGACUAUUGUUCAUUAGGUAAUUUUUAUGGCCCUGCAAAAUUUUAGUUUAUUCGAAUUCGGUAGUCUGAAUUCAUGCAUAUGGCUAUAGCACACGAAAAUUUGAAAAACGACCUGAAUUCUAAUUUUUUGGCCCUAAAAUGAAAAAAAAAGGAACAUUGUUCAUUCAGUCAUUUUUUAUGGUCCCGCAAAAUCUUAGGCGAUUCCAAUCCAGUAGCCCAGAUUCAUGCAGAUGCGUGGACUAUAACACAUGAAAAAUUAGAAAUCUGCCGGAAUUUCAAUAUUUUGGCACUAAAAUGCCUAAAAAUAAGGAACGGUUACGCCGAAGCCGUGACUAUUAUUCAUUAGGUCACUUUUAUGGUCCAGUAAAAUUUUAGGAGAUUCAGAUCGGGUAGCCCUGAUUCAUGUAGAUGGCGUGGAUUAUAGCAUACGAAAAUUUGGAAAUCUGCCCGAAUUCUAAUUUUUUGGCCUUAAAAUACCAAAAAUCGAGGAAUGGUAAUGCCAAAAUCAUGAUUAUUGUUGAUAAGUUCAUUUUUUAUGACCCCGUAAAAUCUUAGGCGAUUCGGAUCCGGUAGCCUGGAUUCAUGCAAAUGGUGUAGACGAUAACACAUGAAAAUUUGAAAAUCGACCCCAAUUAUAGUUUUUUGGCCCUAAAAUGCAAAAGCCUAGGAACGUCCAUGUUGAAGCAAUGACUAUUAUUCGUUAGGUAAUUUCUUAUGAUCGUGUAAAAUUUUAGUCAAUUCGGAUCCAGUAUCCCGGAUUCAUGCAGAUGGCCUGGACUAUAAAGGAAAUUUGGAAAUUGGCCUAAUUCCAGUUUUUUGGCCCUAAAAUGCAAAAAAUAAGGAAAUGUCAUGCCGAAAACCAUGAAAAUGAUUCAUUAGGUUAUUUUUGUGGUCCCUCCAAAUUUUAGGAUAUUCAAAUCUGGUAACCCGAAUUCAUGCACAUAGAACGGAUUAUAACACACGAAAAUUUAAAAAUCGACCUGAAUUCUAUCUUUUUAGACCUUAAAUGCCAAAAAAGAGGAACAGUCAUGCCGAAGCCAUGACUAUUGUACAUCAUUUUUUAUGGACCCCGCAAAAUUUUAGGCGAUUUAGAUCCGGUAGGCCAGAUUAUUGUAGAUGGCGUGGACUAUAGCAUGCAAAAAAUUAGAAAUCGGCCCGAAUUCUAGUUUUUUGCCCUAAAUUGCCAAAAAAACAGGGAACGAUAUGUCGAAGCCAUGACUAUUAUUCAUUAAGGCAUUUUUUAUAGCCCCAUAAAAUUCGAUAUCCACACCUAAAAUAGCUAUCACUUCGCCAUGAUUGUUCAUUGUUUUUUGAAUUUUAAGACCAUAAAACAGGAAUUCAGGAUAACUUCUAGAUUUUCGUGUGUUAUAGUCCGUGCAUCUACAUGACUCGGGUGUCCGGUCCCGAAUUUACUAAACUUUUGCAGUCCAAUAAAAAAUGACCUAAUGAAUAAUAGUCAUCGUUUCGCCAUGAUCGUUUCUCAUUUUUGCUGUUUUAGGGCCACAAACAGAAAUUCAUGACGAUUCCCAGAUUUGCGUGUGCUCUAGUCCACGCUAUCUGUAUAAAUUCUGGUGACUAUUUUAGAAUCUCCUAAAAUUUUGUAGGCCCAUCAAAACUGACAUAAUGAACAAUAGCCACCGCUUUCUCGUGAUUAUUCCUCAUUUUUUUGGCGUUUUAGAGCCAUAAAAUAGGAAUUCAGGACGAUUCCCAGAUUUUAGUGUGCUAUAGUCCACGCUAUUUGCAUGAAUUCAUGCGACCGACUUCGAAACUCCUAAAAAUUUUGGGUUCCAUAAAAAUUGACCGGAUGAUCAAUAGUCAUCGCUUCGCCAUUACCCACCGUCUUUAUUUGGCAUUUUAAGGCUAUAAAAUAGAAAUUCAAGACGAUUCUCAAAUUUUCGUGUACUAUAAGUCUACACCAUAUGCAUGAAUUCGGGCGACCGAACCAGAAUCUCCUAAAAUUUUGUGGAACUAUAAAAACGACCUAAUUAGUAAUAAUCAUCGUUUCACCAUGAUUGUGCCUCAUUUUUUGGCUUUUUGGACCAUAAAACAGGAAUUCAAGAUGAUUCCUAUUUUUGUGUGCUAUAGUCCAUGCCAUUUGCAUAAACUCGGGCAACCGGCCUAGAAUCUAUUUUGCGAGCCCAUCUAGAACGAUGUAAUGAACAAUAGACAUAGAUUCGCCAUGACUGUUCUUUAGUUUUUGGCGUUUUAGGGCCAUAAAAUAGGAAUUCAAGACUAUUACAAAAUUUCAUAUGAUAUUGUCCACACCAUUUGCAAGAAUUUGUGCGACCGACCUCGAAUCUCCUAUAAUUUUACAAGUCCAUAAAAAAGACCUAAUGAACAACAAUCAACACUUCGCCAUGAUUUUUUGUGUUUUAGCGGCAUAAAACAGAAACUCAUCCAGAUUUUCGUGUGUUAUAGCGACGGGGCCAUCUGCAUGAAUUCAAGCGACUGGCCCUGAAUCUACUAAAAAAUUUUAGGCCCGUCAAAAAUAACAUAAUGAACAAUAGUCAUCGCUUCGCCAUGACUGUUCCUCAUUUUUUGGAUUUUUAGGGCCAUAAAAAAGGAAUUCAAGACGAUUCCCAGAUUGUCGUAUGCAAUAGUCCACGCUGUUGAUACCCAAUUUUUCCCUAUAAUAUUUUUCAAAUGCAUAUAUACCUUCAAAACUAUGCAUUAGCAUCAAUUGAUAUUUGUCAUAAUUUCUACAUUUUUCAAAUUAAUUUAUCCCAGUAUUUUAUUUAUAUAAAUAAUUACAAAUUGCAUCACAAAGGACUUUAUAAUAAUUUCACAGUUUAAUUGCUAUUUAUAUUCAUAUUGAGCUCAAAUUAUUUCGCAAAUAGCUAUAUCUACAUUUUUGGGUUAUAAUUGCAAUAACUUUGCAAUUAUAGCACAUGCAUGCAUUAUUGCAUUAUUUUACCAGAAAAUAGCUCAUUGUAUUUUUAUAAUCUUGAGUAAUUAUUUUAAAGCAUUUCCAUGCAUGAAAAUUAUUUUUUUUGUAAUCCGUUAAUUAUUUUAUAAAAUAUAUUUUAUCAAUUAUUUGGGUAUUUAACAAAUAACCCUUUUUUCAAACCUAACCAUUUUUAUCAACCUAAAACCCCCUUUAAUAUAAACCCAAAAGCCAGCCCAAACCCCUUAGGCUCAAUCUGCCUACCCGACCCAAUAACCCAUCUUCAAUCGUGGUCGUUGAUCUUUUAGAUCAACGGUCCACGUUCACUCUUACCUUAAUUAACCCUUAACCUACCCCAAACCCUUUUCAUUCUCUCAAAACCCGUCAUCAUCAUCUCCCCUCAUCUCCCAACUGUAUUUCAACCUAACCCUAACCCUAGUCAUCGUCAUCGGCGUAAACCUCCCUCUUAUGGUGCUUCUAUGUCUUCUCUGACCACUCCUGGUCUCAUACGCUCCACGGUUCUUUGACUUCAUGAGUCCUUGAGAAGAUCUCAAGGAACUCCAACUGGUUCUGGUUUGAAACUUUGUUUACCGGCCAGUAUCAGGCCAUUUUUCAUUUGUAAGUAAGGAUCUCUCCUUGUUUUAUUACGAAUCUAUGGGUUCUAGACCUAUUCUCUUCAUUUCUGUUAUUUUUCCAAAAAACCCUAGUUCGAUAUUGUUGGUUCUUCUUAGAUCUUUAUAGAUCUGAGGUGAUUCGAAUGUUAUUAAGUGUUUUCCUUCAAAAUAUCUCUUGUUUUAAUUGAUUAUUUCGAUUUUUAAUCACUCUUUCUAAACUAGGGUUCAUCUCAAACUUUUCUUCAACGAUUUUUCUAAGUUCUCAAUGUUUAGUUAAUUAUUUUUUCAUCAUCUUAACUGAUUUUUGCAUGAAUGUUCAAACCCUAGUUGAUUCUGUGCGAUAUAUUGGUUUCUUCGAUUUUGUUUCGAUACUUUGUUAUUUCUGUGAUACCAGUCGUAUUAGUUUACUCUGUUUUUGGGCUUACAUAUUUUCCUUGUUAAAAUCCAAUAUUUCUUUGGGAUUGUAACCUAAUUAAGCUCUAUUUAUAGUUUGAACCUGUUUUUCUUGCUGAAUUCUGUAUUUCUGUGAAGCUUUACUUAUUUAAUUUCUAUUUAUGGAAUCAGAGUAAUUCUUUCCCAAAAAUUAGUAUUCUUUUGAAGGGUUUACUGAUUAUUUCCUAUUAUUUUGCUCUGUUAAAAUCUGUGUGUGCACAGAUCUUAUUUGUGACUUUAAUUGAUCACACUUGCCUAAAUAAGUUAUCCGUACGGUUUUGGGAUUCUUACUGAUUCCCUAUUUGGUAUGAUUUGGAUUCCUUACCCUAAUUAACCCUCUUUUGUUGUGAUCGUUAAGUGAUUACCCCUAAUUAAGUGGUCUAUUCCGGACUCCCUUACAUGAAUUGAUUCUGUGAUUAUUUGAUUGCCCCCAAAUUGACUGACUUCUGAUUCUCUUUACCUUAUUUGCUCUACUCUCUAAGUGCUAUAUAUACACUCUUGUUUUACCACUCAAAAACACGAACAGUAGUUCAAAAAUACACACACACACUCAAACUUUCUCUCAUCUUUCUUUCUACUACUUGUGCUCAUUGCUCGUAUAGCCGGCUAAAAGCCAAGGCUAGACUUUGGAACUCUACCUGUCACACCCCUUUUUUAACAACCUAACUCACUUAACUCUCUUAAAUAUAUAAAAAGAUUUAGUAAAGCUCGAAAAGGGCUUUUCAGUUUUGAAAGUGACAAAAGUUGUAUUCAAAGGGAAAAUAACUCAGAGUCACCACCUGACAUUGGUUUCGGUGUGCUAGGUCACCGUUUUUAAAAAAAAAUUCCUUUUAAACAUUUUGGAUUCCAAGACUAAGUCUACACCAGAGAUUUGUGUAAGAGAGUUCAUUUGACUCGGGGAGAAGGUGUUAGGCACUCCCCAAGCCCCGUAACUAGUACGGUUGCAUACUUGAUCAAGUCGGCUUUUAAAAUAUUCAAGUUGAGGUAAAAAUAACACAGAAAAGAAAAAUAAACACACAAGAGGCUCGAGGUCGUCCCCACCUAAUAAAAGAAAAAUAAAGAUAAAAAUAAAAUAAAAGACUGCAAGCGCUACUUUCGGCCUCUAAAUACAAGUACUACGGGGCAUUCCCCGGAACAAAAUAUAUACAAGUCCUUCGGGGCAUUCCCCGGAUAAAUUUAACUAAGGGAACAACCUCUUGCCUCAAAAUUAACAAAAUCCUAAGGCUUGCCUACCCAAGUGUGGUCGGCCUAAGCAUGCUCCUAACGAACAAUAUCAUCAGUAAAGAAAAUAAAAGGAUCUAAAUAAAAGAACUAAGUAAAAGAACAAUUCAAUUCAAUUCAUGGUCAUAUUUUGUUUUAGCUUUUCAUUUUUAUUAGACCGAGCCCGAUACCUAAACCAUGGAACAAAUUAAUUGCUAAUGGGCUUUAGCCUUUCUACCCCUCAAGCCACACGAAGCAGCAACACAUCUAGCAAACAUUACCAGAAAUUGUGAUAUCCAAUGACCAAAUACAUAAGAAAAGCGAAAACAAAAACAGACAAAGACAAAUUGAGAAACUUUUAUAAAGAUAACAUCAAAUAUGUAAAUCAGUACAGCAUCCCAAUAUGCAUGAGAAGAAAAGAUAGAGUGACCUAAACACAUAUAAGCCAUUUAAGACAAACACCUUGGCAUGUUACUGCGCCAUUCUAGAUGCGGUUACUACGUGGAACUUGCAAAACACAUUUAAACUAAUUUAAUAAUCUCAGUGAAUAUAGAUGAAACCAAAAUGAAGGGAAAAACACAAUUUUCAAACACAUGGACUAUCCCGACUCAGUUUUAAAAAAAAACGCUAUCCUAAUGUGAUAAAACUUUGACAUUUUGGACUUAAAUGUUUCAAAAUAAGCUCAAAGGGUGAACAAAAUAUGCUCCAUAAUGCUUGAAAGAAUUCAAAUCCGAGCGAAUAAGAUCAGUCACAAAAAAAAAAUAAAAAAAUUCAUGAACUCAAUCUAAUAAAGAAAAACUACAGAAGAGUUAAUAGACUACACCAAUCUAUUUUCAUUUUUCUUGCCAUACAAAUGAUGUUUCAUAUAAACUAAUGUUGCCAAACGCCUUUCAAGAUCAUUUUGACUAAUCAACUGAUGAUAAGCCUCUUAUCAUAUAAUUAAGUCUAAUAGACUCUUAGUCAAUAUGUUUUCGCCUACACCAAAUCUACACCAAUCAACUGAUGAUAAGCCUUUUAGUCAACCAUAGCCAUUCAAAUUUGCAAACUAGCACCCACUUUCAAGCUCAUUUUGACUAGAAAAGUAGCAGAAAAGAUUUAAACAAGAACAAACCAAUUGACAUGAUCAUCACCAAAGAGAAACACAAAUCACAACAGAAACAAAAGAAAGGAAUAGAAGUGAACCUGUUAAGCUGAAAUCCUUCUAAAUAACAAUGGAAAAAUUAGCAAAUGCACACUCCUCGAAUAGAAAGAAAAUCCGACGAGAAAACAGCAAGCAAAAUCGAACAACGGAACCAAAACUCGAACGACGAACACGACUCCGACCUCGAACAAACUCGAAUGGAGAACGAAUUUUGGCUCAAUCAACCUCCGUGUUGAAACCGAAACCAAAAGAAGAAACUAAAAUCAUUUUUGAGAUAUUUUCUGAUUUUUUUAAAAUGGAGACAAGUUGAAACAAAAAACCUAAACUCAAACUAUUUUUUGUAUUUUUGUUUUUCUGGAAUUUAAACUCAACUGAAAAUGGACCAAAAUGAGAAGAAAAGAAGAAACUCCCUCUUAGAGCCCAAAUUUUUCCAAAUCAUUUUCUCCAAAUUCUUCUCCUAAUCCCCCGAAAUUUCUGUCCAAGACCCAAAUAUAUAGCUCCCUCUCGAAAUUUCUAUCCUUCUUCAUCAAGAAAUCGUGUGGGACCACAAAACAAAUCCGAAAAUCUUUAACCAAAAUCUGAAAAAGAAGAAAAAAAACAAAGCAAAAUCGAAUUUUAUCUCUUUUGAUGCCAUUAAAGGACAGAUGGAGGGGGUAACUCGAUCCUACGCCUCCCAUUUUGCUGUUCAUGCCUAAAAAGAUAAAAUCGAAAAGGAGAUGAGGAGAAGACGCGCAAAAUCGAAUACUAAUGAUGAGGGGGGACCAUGAGGGGACCAGGAGGCGAGUUGGGUGAGUGGACUCGUCCGAUUCCGGCGAGUAUAGAUCGGCAGAGGCAAGGCAGAAGCGGCUGGAGUUUGUAUUUUAGGUUUAGGGUUAGAUUGGGGAAAAUAUUAGGCUUAUAUUUGGGUAUGGGGAAAUAAUGUGAGCCAAUGGAUCAAAUAAAAUAGAUGGCUAGGAUUUAAAAUGGUAAUUGGGGCGGGUCGGCGGAUUGGGUUGGCGGGUCAGCAGGUUUUGAGUUUGGGACAUGUGUCAAAGGUUAUGGGAUUGGGCUGCCCAGAUUUGGGCCUCUUCUUGACCGAAAUUGGUUUAAAUCCGUCAANNNNNNNNNNNNNNNNNNNNNNNNNUGAAAACAAAAUAUAUUGCUAUAAAAAUAUUAAUAACCUAAACUAAAUAGGAUAAGAUAGAACAUGAAACUAUUUUUGUAUUUUUUAAAAUUUUGUGCCUUAAAAAUAGAAUUAAAAUUAGUAAUAAAGUAAAAUCCUAUAGAUAUAAACCCAAAUAAAUAUCCUAAGAAUACUAGGAUUAUUAGAGGUGAUUCUAAUGCAUGGGUCAAAAAUUACAUGUCUACACUACCUGCUUUACUCUCUGCACUUUGCUUCCUUAACUGGUAUGUUCUUAUUUCAAUAUCAUUCUGAAAUUCAAAUCUAUGUUCCCCAUAGUUGCUAAAUCCUUGUCGAUUUUCGCACUAGUUUAACUGAUUAUGUUCUUAGUUGUUCUUCCUGUUUACUGCUUUGAUCAGUAUGCUUAAGAUGUACACCUUCUUGUUCAAUGUUUUAAUCAGCAUGUCUAUGUUUCUAUCUUCUUGUUUUCUAUUUUAGCCAGCAUGUUUACUUGAGUUUUUGUCUGUUUCUUUCAACUAGCAUGCUCAUUUUAAGUAGUUUAGGCUCCUAAUUUAUCUGAUUAACCACAAUUGGUAUGACUAAUCCUGUGUGGUAGACCCUUGUCCUCAACAUGGAUAUUCCUGCAUUCUGUUUCUAUGCUCUAAUGUCUAUUAUCACUUUAGCUUUAAGUAUAAUUUCCUUGUUAAUACUCUGAAUUAGUAGUUUAUAUUCUAAUGCUAUGAAUUUGGUCGCUGGUUGUCAAUCAAUCCCUACUUGUUCUGUGUAUUGUUCAUCAAUAAAUAUGCUUCCCCUCUUAUCCAUGUUCAUGUGCUUCUGAUUUAAGCUCCCUAUGUUCCCAACUCCCCGAUCCCUAUUUGUAAACUUGUUUGUCUUCACUUAGAAUCAAGUAAUAAAUGGCUUUGAAUCUGGGCACUCUAAGUUUUGUGAUUGUGUGGUUCUUUGUUGAAUCUUUGUUCUUCUCAGAAUUGCUUCCAAAACUAUUUUCACUCUUAGCAUUUUCUUAAAACUGUUUCCAUUCCUAAAAUACCUUUUCACUCCUAAAAAUUUUACCUCUAAACUGUUUUUAAUAAGUUCUUCCAACUAUGUCAGGCACUCUCACUUCUACUCUUAGAUUAUGUAAGUUCUGCCCCUCCAGUGUGUGUAUUGCCUAGGAAUCCAUGAGAUUCCUCAGAACUCUGGCACACUGGGGCUGGCCCUUCCACACCGCACAUAACUACUUCUCUAUUUAUAAGGAUCUUGGUGUGAGCAUUGCUCAGGGUACUUUAGGCCCUUGGGAACUUUGACGCACCAGGAUACCUCAUUGGAUACCAUGGACUAUGACAUCUUGGACUGUUUUGAAAGCCUGGUAUUUCCAAGUUCACUUUGGCCUAUUUCAGGCUCCAUAUAGCAUAACUUAUAUUUAUUAUGUAAUUUAUUUAUUUAUGGUCUGUAAUGAUAAUCUUUAUAAACAGAUAUUAGGGAAAUUAGUAAAAGAAUAGGAUUCUUAUAUGAUUUUUGUGGGGAAACCGGGUAGAAAUCAUGCCUUUUGGUCUAUAUUAUAUUUACUUGCAUCAGAAAUUAUGCU